UACUAUGUACAAAAAAGCCAUUGCAAUAAAUCUCAAGUUAUUAAAGUCAGUUAACAAAUAAGUACUGACAAUUCAUUGACUGGAGUGGAAGAUGUUAGUGUCUUGAACCAACAUGAAACAACAAGUUAACUUAGCUGAGAAUGAUGGUAGUUUAAAAAUAAUGCAGCAUUGGCUAGGAUUGUUCCUAGGUCACAAAAACAAUCUUACAAAUAGAGUUUCUGCUGUUGUCACUGGUUUUAGAGAGUACCUUUGUGAAUGAAGAUAAAAAGUCAUUUAUGUUAUUUUUU